UUAUUCUCAACCACAUUUAUUCAUUUUCCAAAACCUAGCAGCAACGGAGGCAGGCAGGCAGCAGCCGCAGUCAUCAAAGAUGCAGAUAUUCAUGAAAACCCUGAUACGGAAAACCAUCACCCUUGAGGUGGAGUCUUCUGGCACCAUCGAUAAUGUAAAGGCCAAAAUCCAGGACAAGGAGGGCAAUCCCCCAGACCAGCAGUGCCUCAUCUUCACCGACAGCAGUGCCUCAUCUUGUUUCCUUAAUUUUUCCCCAAUUAAUUUGCCUAAAUUUUUUCCCCAAGUAUUGUUUUGCAAAAUUUUUUGGUGGCUAGUUUGAGCCAUGGAUUUAAUCAUCUCUUUCUGUAAAAUUUUGCAAAAUUUGCCCUAAUUUUUUUUUGCAAUUUUUUUUUGUGAAGGAAUUCAAGGUGGGAGAUGAAGUAUUCAGAGACAUUCAUGAGCACGCUUUGUACCCAAAAGGAUGUGUGUCACUGGCGGAGUACAAUACAGUCGAGGAGAAGGUACUGGCUUCGAAGCCCAAGAAUUUGAGUUUUGCCGUGGCAGCUAGCCUUCCUGUUGCUGUUGAGGGAUUCUUUUCUUGUGAAUGGCGUUGCCUUUAAGAAAACAUUCUCAUAUGCUGGUUUUGAACAGCAACCAAAGAAAUUUGUAAAUCCCAAGAUACUUUUGCUGAAUAUAGAAUUGGAACUGAUAUCAGAGAAAGAGAAUGCAGAAAUAAGGCUUUCAGAUCCAUCGCAGUAUCAGUCAAUCGUUGAUGCAGAAUGGAAUAUCAUUUAUGACAAGUUAGAUAAAUGUGUGAAAAGUGGGGCUAAAAUCAUUUUAUCUCGGCUGGCUAUUGGUGACCUAGCAACACAGUAUUUUGCAGAUCGGGAUGUAUUCUGUGCUGGUCGUGUUACUGAGGAGGAUCUGCAUCGUAUAU